rnacentral:lncRNA from 1 species
AUCCAUGUAAAAUUUAGUUUCUCAAAUAAAAAAUGCAGUACAUGUACAAAAUCAUUACAGUAUAUGGAGUGUGUGGAUAUCUUUCACAAAACUCGAGCCCAAUACAUCCAAACCAGUAAAGAAGAACACAUCAGCUACCUGAAUGUAGGUGGUGAAACUUUCAGUUAAUGCAGAAAAACAUACCUUUUCCCUCAUUUUAGGUACUUUUUCUUCUCAUGUUAAUGUAGGUGGUGAAACUUUCAGUUAAUGCAGAAAAACAUACCUUUUCCCUCAUUUUAGGUACUUUUUCUUCUCAUGUUGUGCAGAAUAAGGGGUGUUCCCUCGAAUAGAUCCAACAAAUAAUUCUCCAAAUCCUCGCCAGUGUAUUUUAUGUAUUUUCCAGCAUUCCUCCCACUUUCUAAAUGAUUCCCAAACCUUCCCAAAAACGAGCGGUAAGCUGGAAUGACUUUUUCUGAAAUUGAUAUUCGAAGCUCUUCACGUAGCUGAGGAUCUGGAACCUUCCAACCAGUCUGAAUCCGAUAUAUAUCUUCAAAG